rnacentral:rRNA from 1 species
UACAGAGGGUGCGAGCGUUAAUCGGAAUUACUGGGCGUAAAGCGCGCGUAGGCGGCUUUGCAAGUCGGGUGUGAAAUCCCCAGGCUUAACCUGGGAACUGCAUUCGAGACUGCAUUGCUAGAGUAUGGGAGAGGGAAGUGGAAUUUCCGGUGUAGCGGUGAAAUGCGUAGAUAUCUGGAGGAACACCGGUGGCGAAGGCGGUUCUCUGGGCAUUACCUGACGCUGAGGAGCGAAAGUGUGGGGAGCGAACAGG